UAUAAUUUAAUAGCUUGGUCAAAGACAGCAGGCAGCCGCGAGGCUUGAAAGGCGUUCCGUCGCCGCCCGCCGAGGUCAGCACGAACAGAUUUGAUGUUUUGUGUACCCUCUUGUGUCUUUGCACAAGAGGGUACUUUAUUUUUGAU
rfam:Butyricicoccus pullicaecorum 1.2 genomic scaffold acBRa-supercont1.2, whole genome shotgun sequence.